UGACCUAUCCCGAACCCUGCUAAUGUUCUUUCUAGGUAGUCCCAGGACACUCUAUCAAACGCCUUUUUGGCAUCAGUGGUUAAGAUUAGUGCAGGGAUCUUCCUGGUUUUGGCAUAGUGUAUCAGUGAGAUUAUUUUGGUUGUAUUGUCUCUUCCCUCUCUUCCAGGUAUAAAACCUGACUGGUCCGUGUGGAUUAGCUCCGGCUAAAGGGAGCGUCAAUUGAUUGACUGUCCUCCGGGAUUACUGCUUAUUGAGAUGAAUUGACCUCUGAGGACACAUUUUAGAGUUUCCCAAAUGGUUCCGGGGGAGAUUGAGCUAGAAAUGUUAUCUUGCAACAUUUGGGAGAUAUUUGUUUUGAUCUGAUUUCUAAUGUGGUCUCUGUGCAAUAGAAAGUCAUUCAUUCUCCAGGUGAAUUUAGGUUUGGUUGUCUUAGGGAUCACAAACUUGGCUACUAUGGGAGAAUGGUCAGAUAGGACACUGCUUCUGAUUUUAGCCUGUGUAAAUAAAUGUAACCAGUUUUGUGAAGCCAUGAUAUAGUCUAUUC